rnacentral:rRNA from 1 species
UUCCGGUUGAUCCUGCCGGAAGUCACUGAAGCGCCGGUCGAUUAAGCCAUGCGAGUCGAGAGGGUUCGGCCCUCGGCGUACUGCUCAGUAACACGUGGAUAACCUGCCCUAGGGAAGGGGAUAACCCCGGGAAACUGGGGAUAAUACCCUAUAGGUUACAGAUGCUGGAAUGCUCUGUAACCCAAAGUUCCGGCGCCCUAGGAUGGAUCUGCGGCCGAUUAGGUUGUUGUUGGGGUAAUGGCCCAACAAGCCAGUAAUCGGUACGGGUUGUGGGAGCAAGAGCCCGGAGUUGGAUUCUGAGACACGAAUCCAGGCCCUACGGGGCGCAGCAGGCGCGAAAACUUUACAAUGCGGGCAACCGUGAUAAGGGAACCUCGAGUGCCUGUAAAUGCAGGCUGUUUAGGUGUUUAAAACGCACCUGGAGAAAGGGCCGGGCAAGACCGGUGCCAGCCGCCGCGGUAAUACCGGCGGCUCGAGUGGUGGCCACUUUUAUUGGGCUUAAAGCGUUCGUAGCUGGGUUGUUAAGUCUCUUGGGAAAUCUGGCGGCUUAACCGUCAGGCGUCUAAGGGAUACUGGCAAUCUUGGAACCGGGAGAGGUGAGGGGUACUUCGGGGGUAGGAGUGAAAUCCUGUAAUCCUCGAGGGACCACCUGUGGCGAAGGCGCCUCACCAGAACGGCUUCGACAGUGAGGGACGAAAGCUGGGGGAGCAAACCGGAUUAGAUACCCGGGUAGUCCCAGCCGUAAACUAUGCGCGUUAGGUGUAUCGGUGACCACGAGUUACCGAGGUGCCGAAGGGAAACCGUGAAACGUGCCGCCUGGGAAGUACGGUCGCAAGGCUGAAACUUAAAGGAAUUGGCGGGGGAGCACCACAACAGGUGGAGCCUGCGGUUUAAUUGGAUUGCAACGCCGGA